CCUACGGGUGGCUGCAGUAGGGAAUAUUGCGCAAUGGGGGAAACCCUGACGCAGCAACGCCGCGUGAGUGAUGAAGGCUUUCGGGUUGUAAAGCUCUGUUGUACGGGGAAAACGUUGCUAUGGCUAAUAUCCAUAGCAAGUGAUUGUACCGUAUAAGAAAGGACCGGCUAACUUCGUGCCAGCAGCCGCGGUAAGACGGGGGGUCCUAGCGUUGUUCGGAAUUAUUGGGCUUAAAACGUUUGCUGGUAGUUCCUUGGGCUUAACCCAAGACGUGCAUUCAAAACUGCCAAACUUGAGUAUGGAAGAGGAUCGUGGAAUUCCUAGUGUAGUGGUGAAAUACGUAGAUAUUAGGAGGAACACCGGAGGCGAAGGCGGCGAUCUGGUCCAAUACUGACACUCAAACACGAAAGCGUGGGGAUCAAACAGGAUUAGAUACCCUAGUAGUC
rnacentral:rRNA from 1 species